rnacentral:rRNA from 1 species
UACGUAGGUGGCAAGCGUUAUCCGGAUUUACUGGGUGUAAAGGGCGUGUAGGCGGGACUGCAAGUCAGAUGUGAAAUUCCAGGGCUCAACCCUGGAACUGCAUUUGAAACUGUGCUUCUUGAGUGCUGGAGAGGCAGACGGAAUUCCUAGUGUAGCGGUGAAAUGCGUAGAUAUUAGGAGGAACACCAGUGGCGAAGGCGGUCUGCUGGACAGUAACUGACGGUGAGGCGCGAAAGCGUGGGGAGCAAACAGG